AUCGGCUGCGCAGGCCGGUCGGCGUGUGGGGCAAAAUCGUGGGCUCACUGUGCGCGAUUGCCGGUGUACUGACAAUCGCACUGCCCGUACCGGUUAUCGUCAGCAAC
rfam:Anopheles epiroticus strain epiroticus2 unplaced genomic scaffold supercont1.49, whole genome shotgun sequence.